rnacentral:rRNA from 1 species
UACGUAGGUGGCAAGCGUUGUUCGGAAUUAUUGGGCGUAAAGGGCGCGUAGGCGGUUUGUUAAGUCAGCUGUGAAAGCCCGGGGCUCAACCCCGGAGAGUCGACUGAUACUGGCAGACUAGAGUACGGAAGAGGUAGCUGGAAUUCCCGGUGUAGCGGUGAAAUGCGUAGAGAUCCGGAGGAAGACCGGUGGCGAAGGCGGUCUGCUGGGCAGUUUCUGACACUGAGGCACGAAGGCCAGGGGAGCAAACGGG